rnacentral:rRNA from 1 species
UACAGAGGGGGCAAGCGUUGUUCGGAAUUACUGGGCGUAAAGGGCGCGUAGGCGGCCUUCUAAGUCGAACGUGAAAUCCCCGGGCUCAACCCGGGAACUGCGUCCGAUACUGGAAGGCUUGAAUCCGGGAGAGGGAUGCGGAAUUCCAGGUGUAGCGGUGGAAUGCGUAGAUAUCUGGAGGAACACCGGUGGCGAAGGCGGCAUCCUGGACCGGCAUUGACGCUGAGGAGCGAAAGCGUGGGGAGCGAACAGG